rnacentral:rRNA from 1 species
UACGUAGGGAGCUAGCGUUGUCCGGAAUCAUUGGGCGUAAAGAGCGUGUAGGCGGCUCGGUAAGUCCGCUGUAAAAGUCCAGGGCUCAACCCUGGAAAGCCGGUGGAAACUGUCGAGCUAGAGUCCGGAAGAGGAGAGUGGAAUUCCUGGUGUAGCGGUGAAAUGCGCAGAUAUCAGGAAGAACACCCGUGGCGAAGGCGGCUCUCUGGGACGGUACUGACGCUGAGACGCGAAAGCGUGGGGAGCGAACAGG